rnacentral:rRNA from 1 species
AGUGAACGCUGGCGGCAGGCCUAACACAUGCAAGUCGAACGAACUCUUCGGAGUUAGUGGCGGACGGGUGAGUAACACGUGGGAACGUGCCUUUUGGUUCGGAAUAACUCAGGGAAACUUGUGCUAAUACCGAAUGUGCCCUUCGGGGGAAAGAUUUAUCGCCAUUAGAGCGGCCCGCGUCUGAUUAGCUAGUUGGUGAGGUAACGGCUCACCAAGGCGACGAUCAGUAGCUGGUCUGAGAGGAUGACCAGCCACACUGGGACUGAGACACGGCCCAGACUCCUACGGGAGGCAGCAGUGGGGAAUCUUGCGCAAUGGGCGAAAGCCUGACGCAGCCAUGCCGCGUGAAUGAUGAAGGUCUUAGGAUUGUAAAAUUCUUUCACCGGGGACGAUAAUGACGGUACCCGGAGAAGAAGCCCCGGCUAACUUCGUG